UACGGGGGGAGCAAGCGUUGUUCGGAUUUACUGGGCGUAAAGGGCGCGUCGGCGGCCACCGCAAGUCGACUGUGAAAUCUCCGGGCUUAACCCGGAAAGGUCAGCCGAUACUGCGGGGCUAGAGUGCAGAAGGGGCAACUGGAAUUCUCGGUGUAGCGGUGAAAUGCGUAGAUAUCGAGAGGAACACCUGCGGCGAAGGCGGGCUGCUGGGCUGACACUGACGCUGAGGCGCGAAAGCUAGGGGAGCGAACGGG
rnacentral:rRNA from 1 species